UGAAGAAUUCCAGCCGCAACCUUCCUUCUCCUCAGCCAAACAACUCCCAUUCUUCCAUCUAAAGAAACUAGCAGCCCUCAUUCCCGUUUUCUUCAUCCUCCCUCACCUCUCGUCGACGGCUUCGGCAACAAGGAAGCCGACGUCUUCUUCUUCCCUCAGCAGUAGCGGUGAGCAGCGACGUCAAGCAGAAGCAACCACCGGCAGCCUUCAACCUUCCCCCCCCCCCCCCCCCCCUCCUCUUUCCGACUUCUGUUUGGAGAAGCGGUGCAGCAAAAGGCAGCUUGACGAGGCAAACAGUGGCGGAAAGCAGCAACUGGGCAACGGUGACGCAGUUCGGCGGUGUGGUCGACGGCGACGCAGCCCAGCGGUGGCGUUUCCCCUCUUGUUCCGGCGAAGAAAGCUUCUCCGGCAUGGGCAGAGCAUCAAUGGCGUCUAGUCUAGACAGCUCCGGCAGCUUGAGGAACGUUGGUGGCGGAUGGCGUCUCUCCGGUAGUGGAGGUCGGCAUCUCUCCGGUAGUGGCGCUUCUCCUCCGGCGAAGCAGAGUAGGCCGCGGGUGGUGACGCGGGCGGUGAGUUCUCGUGGCUCUACCCGCUGCCUCCCAGUGAUGAAUCGAAGAAGAAGAAGAAAGCAGUGGUUCCCGGUAGCUUGGCUUUAUGAUUUGAGCCUAUGUUGGCAUUGUUUUUGGAUGUUAAGCGAAUGAGGUUAUGAGGUUGGCGGUAAUGAGCUGCGUGCUCAAAAUGAUUGGCGGUAUAUUGCACUGCGUGUGCUUAUGAUAUUGCGCUGCGUAUGCGAUUAUGAUUAUGUUCAUGAAAAGCUGGCGGAAAAGAAGGCGAGGAGCAUGGCUCUGGAGGGAUAAGGUUGAACUAGUGUCCAGGGUGGUCUCAGAGGUAAAGGCUGGAACUAUUAUAAAGAUGGAGUGGUGUAAGGUUUGAAUGUGAAAUAAGGUUCGAACUUGUAACCUGUAACUUGAUUAUGGUUUGUUAUUUUUGUAUGCUAUCAUUGUCUUAUCAUGUCAAUUCUACGGGUAUGUCAUGAGUCCGAUUGGGUCGAUGAGUGUACCCUCUAG